rnacentral:rRNA from 1 species
AGGGAAAGAUGGAGGCAGGCCUAACACAUGCAAGUCGAGCGGAUGAAGGGAGCUUGCUCCUGGAUUCAGCGGCGGACGGGUGAGUAAUGCCUAGGAAUCUGCCUGGUAGUGGGGGAUAACGUCCGGAAACGGGCGCUAAUACCGCAUACGUCCUGAGGGAGAAAGUGGGGGAUCUUCGGACCUCACGCUAUCAGAUGAGCCUAGGUCGGAUUAGCUAGUUGGUGGGGUAAAGGCCUACCAAGGCGACGAUCCGUAACUGGUCUGAGAGGAUGAUCAGUCACACUGGAACUGAGACACGGUCCAGACUCCUACGGGAGGCAGCAGUGGGGAAUAUUGGACAAUGGGCGAAAGCCUGAUCCAGCCAUGCCGCGUGUGUGAAGAAGGUCUUCGGAUUGUAAAGCACUUUAAGUUGGGAGGAAGGGCAGUAAGUUAAUACCUUGCUGUUUUGACGUUACCAACAGAAUAAGCACCGGCUAACUUCGUG